rnacentral:rRNA from 1 species
CCUACGGGUGGCUGCAGUGGGGAAUAUUGCACAAUGGGGGAAACCCUGAUGCAGCCACGCCGCGUGCGUGAAGAAGUAUCUCGGUAUGUAAAGCUCUAUCAGCAGGGAAGAAGCUGACGGUACCCAAGGAAUACGCCCCGGCUAACUACGUGCCAGCAGCCGCGGUAAUACGUAGGGGGCAAGCGUUGUUCGGAAUGACUGGGCGUAAAGGGUGUGUAGGCGGUGUAGCAAGUUAGAAGUGAAAUACCUAGAGCUUAACUCAGGUGCUGCUUCUAAAACUGCUAUACUUGAGUGCAGUAGAGGAAAGUGGAAUUCGUGGUGUAGCGGUGGAAUGCGUAGAUAUUAGGAGGAACAUCAGUGGCGAAGGCGACUUUCUGGACUGUAACUGACGCUGAGGCACGAAAGUGUGGGGAGCAAACAGGAUUAGAUACCCCAGUAGUC